rnacentral:misc_RNA from 1 species
CCUCCCUCGCCUAGCGCCUCGCCUGGCACCUUGGAGCACCUUCAAUAACACUGCUUUUUGGGUACAAAAGAAAAAGCAUUAAAGCUUGAUCGUGCCAUCUCUAACCAAAACAUCACCCCACAUCCACCUAAGCUAGGCCCUAGCUAACACCUGACAAUUUUGAUAAAACUUAAAGCAAUAACUAAAUCCUUUCCAGGCUCUCAAAAACAAAAGCUCCAUUGCUCCAAUGGAGCUUCACCACACUUUUGUCAAAUCUCGCAAACUGUUAAAGUACAAUCAAUCAAAUAACAGAAACUGGAGUAGCAAAUUGGUAACCCACUAAAGGUUCAUCCAAACAAGUUCACCUGCACGGUAUAACAGACUAUUCUUGAUCAUAUACCUGGCUAUGUAGCCCACUGUCAGUGACAUUUAUCAAUUGCAAAACACGAGCUGAAAGU